AUGGAAAAAAUGAAGGACGUGCUGGUACCAGAAGGUGAAGAGCCAAAGUCUGCUGCUGAAAUUGUUGAAGAAGUGCUCAAGACAGAAGUCAAGCAAAGCACAUUCCUCAGGAAUAUUGGGCUCCAGUCAUCUAGGGACAACUCUAGCAAAGCAACUGCUGAAGUGGCUGCUCAUGUUCGUGAUCUUGAGUAG
rnacentral:rRNA from 1 species